rnacentral:rRNA from 1 species
CGAAGAAGGACGCGAUAAGCUGCGAUAAGCCUUGGGUAGCCGCAAAUAGGCUGAGAUCCAGGGAUUUCCGAAUGAGGAAACUCACAUGGGUAACCCCAUGUAUUAUGCACUGAAUACAUAGGUGUAUGAGGGUAAACCCGGGGAACUGAAACAUCUAAGUACCCGGAGGAAGAGAAAGAAAAAUCGAUUUCCUAAGUAGCGGCGAGCGAACGGGAAAGAGCCCAAACCAGA